rnacentral:rRNA from 1 species
GGAAUGAGUAGCGAGAAUUAUGUGGGAAUCAUAAUGGCCGAAAAUCUAAGGUUUCCUGGGGAAGGUUCGUCCGCCCAGGGUAAGCCGGGAGCUAAGGCGAGGCCGAAAGGCGUAGUCGAUGCACAUACGGUUGAAAUUCCGUAGCCACCGAACCUUAAGUACACUGACACAUAGAGAUAGCGGGACCCGGGCGUUGGUUGACCCGGGCGUAAGGGACCGAACUUUAGUAGGGAAGUCCGCGAUGCUCUGUGGCGAGAAAAGGUGUAUGGUAUGCUAAGGUGCCCGUACCGCAAACCGACACAGGUAGAUGAGGAGAGAAUCCUAAGGCCAACGGGAGAAGGGUUGUUAAGGAACUCGGCAAAAUGACCCCGUAACUUCGGGAUAAGGGGAGCCUCCUACGGGAGGCCGCAGCGAAUAGGCCCAAGCGACUGUUUACCAAAAACACAGGUCUCUGCUAAAUCGAAAGAUGACGUAUAGGGGCUGACGCCUGCCCGGUGCUGGAAGGUUAAGAGGAGAUGUUAGCCGCAAGGCGAAGCAUUGAAUCGAAGCCCCAGUAAACGGCGGCCGUAACUAUAACGGUCCUAAGGUAGCGAAAUUCCUUGUCAGGUAAGUUCUGACCCGCACGAAUGGCGUAACGACUUGGGCGCUGUCUCAACAGCCCACCCGGCGAAAUUGUUGUACUGGUGAAGAAGCCAGUUACCCGCAACUAGACGGAAAGACCCCAUGGAGCUUUACUGCAGCUUAAUACUGGAAAUCGGUAAAUCAUGUACAGGAUAGGUGGGAGACUUGGAAGCCAGGGCGUCAGCUUUGGUGGAGUCACCCUUGGGAUACCACCCUUGAUUUGCUGGUUUUCUAACCUGCGGCCGUGAAUCCGGUCGGGGGACACUGUUAGGUGGGCAGUUUGACUGGGGCGGUCGCCUCCUAAAAGGUAACGGAGGCGCUCAAAGGUUCGUUCAGCACGGACGGAAACCGUGCAGUGAGUGUAAACGCAUAAACGAGCCUAACUGCGAGACCGACGGGUCGAGCAGUAACGAAAGUUGGAGUUAGUGAUCCGGCGGUAUGCAAGUGGAAGUGCCGUCGCUCAACGGAUAAAAGCUACCCUGGGGAUAACAGGCUGAUCUCCCCCAAGAGUCCACAUCGACGGGGAGGUUUGGCACCUCGAUGUCGGCUCAUCACAUCCUGGGGCUGUAGUAGGUCCCAAGGGUUGGGCUGUUCGCCCAUUAAAGUGGUACGCGAGCUGGGUUCAGAACGUCGUGAGACAGUUCGGUCCCUAUCUGUCAUGGGCGUAGGAUAUUUGAGGAGAGCUGUUCCUAGUACGAGAGGACCGGGAUGGACGCACCGCUGGCGCACCAGUUGUCAUGCCAAUGGCACAGCUGGGCAACUAUGUGCGGAUCGGAUAAACGCUGAAAGCAUCUAAGCGUGAAGCCGACUCCAAGAUAAGAUAUCCCAUAGUGUUAAACUAGUAAGACCCCUUGUAGACUACGAGGUUGAUAGGCUGCGUGUGUAAGCACGGUAACGUGUUCAGCUUGGCAGUACUAAUAGGUCGAGGGCUUGACCA